GCUUACGGCCACACCAGUGUGAAUGUGCCCGAUCUCAUCUGAUCUUGGAAACUAAAUAUGUUUGGGCUCGGCCAGUAUUUGGAUGGAAGACCACCUGGGAAUCCUGAGUGCUGUAAGCU
rnacentral:rRNA from 1 species